rnacentral:rRNA from 1 species
GUGAGGAAUAUUGGUCAAUGGGCGCAAGCCUGAACCAGCCAUGCCGCGUGCAGGAUGACUGCCCUAUGGGUUGUAAACUGCUUUUAUACGGGAAGAAACCCCUCCACGUGUGGAGGAUUGACGGUACCGUAAGAAUAAGGAUCGGCUAACUCCGUGCCAGCAGCCGCGGUAAUACGGAGGAUCCAAGCGUUAUCCGGAAUCAUUGGGUUUAAAGGGUCCGUAGGCGGGUCUGUAAGUCAGUGGUGAAAUCUCCCGGCUCAACCGGGAAACUGCCAUUGAUACUGCAGGUCUUGAAUGUUUGUGAAGUAACUAGAAUAUGUAGUGUAGCGGUGAAAUGCUUAGAUAUUACAUGGAAUACCGAUUGCGAAGGCAGGUUACUAACAAAUGAUUGACGCUGAUGGACGAAAGCGUGGGGAGCGAACAGGAUUAGAUACCCCUGUAGUCC